rnacentral:rRNA from 1 species
UGGGGAAUAUUGCACAAUGGGCGAAAGCCUGAUGCAGCAACGCCGCGUGAAGGAAGAAGGUCUUCGGAUUGUAAACUUUUGUCUUGCGGGACGAAUAAUGACGAUACCGCAGGAGGAAGCCACGGCUAACUACGUGCCAGCAGCCGCGGUAAUACGUAGGUGGCGAGCGUUGUCCGGAAUUACUGGGUGUAAAGGGUGCGUAGGCGGAUUUGCAAGUCAGACGUGAAAACUAUCGGCUUAACCGGUAGCCUGCGUUUGAAACUGUGAGUCUUGAGUGGUGAAGAGGUAAGCGGAAUUCCUAGUGUAGCGGUGAAAUGCUUAGAUAUAACACAGAACACCGAUUGCGAAGGCAGCUCUCUAAACUGCAACUGACGCUCAGGAACGAAAGCGUGGGGAUCAAACA